ACAUCUCCCAUUAGGCCCCACCUCCAACACUUAGGAUCACAUUUCAACAUAAGAUUUAGAGGAGACAAACAUCCAAACCAUAUCACCAGGCAAUCAAGGAGAGAGUGGAGUGAAUAUUUAAAGUGUUAAGAGAAAAAACCUACCAACCUAUAAUUCUGUACCCUGUGAAAUUAUCUUUCGAAAGUGAAGGAGAAAUAAAGUCUUUCUUAGACAAACAAAAAUUGAGGGAAUAUUUUUCCACAGACUUGCCCUGAGAGAAAUAUUAAAAGAAAUUCUUUAGCAAGAAGGAAAAUGAUAAAGGUCAGAAAUGCAGAUCUAUGUGAAGAAGGAAAAAGCAUCAAAGAAGCAAUAUUCAAGGCUAUACAGGAAGUAUGGUGCUGGCAUCUGCUUCUGGUGAGAGCCUCAGGGAGCACAUCAUGGCAGAAGACGAAGAAGGAGCUGGAAUAUCACAUGGCAAGAGAGGAAGAAAUGAAAACUCAGCCUGCUACUGCAGCAGAAGUGAGAGGUGGAGCCAGCGAAUAUGAUGGGAGGCAACAAGAACACUACACAGCUCACCACCACUUCCGCCCAGCCUUGGAAAACUCCCCUUCCUACCACCCAGCAGAUGAGAGCAGCAAUUUGCCAUGGUGAUCUCUGCACAAGUUGGCUCCCUUUCACCUUCUACCAUGAAUGGAAGAAGCCUGAGGCCCUCACCAGAAGUAGAUGCUGGCACCAUGCUUCUUGUACAGCCUGCAGAACUGUGAGCCAAACAAACCUCUUUUAUUUAUAAAGUCCCAAGCCUCAGGUAUCUCUUUCUAGCAACACAAAUGGACUAAGACAGCACUUUAGUUCUAUUGCAACAAGAGAUGGGCAUUGUACCCCAGCUCUCUCAGUUGGGACCCUGCCUAGUUCUUGCCAGCCCCUUUUCCUGAGCUACAUUGAGAGAAUCAAUAAAAACAAUUAAGGACACAGGCCAAGUAGACUUUGACAUUUGGAAAAGCCACAGUCCAACAGCUUCAUGCCACCCAGUACCCCAAAUUCCUCAUAAAGGGGUCCAUUGCCUAUUGUUUCUCCAAUAACGUUUUUCUUUCGGCCAAGAAUUUUUGCCUUCUCGGGAACAUCACACACCGGGGCCUGUUGUUGGGUCGGGGGAGGGGGGAGGGAUAGCAUUAGGAGAUACACCUAAUGUAAAUGACGAGUUAAUGGGUGCAGCACACCAACAUGGCACAUGUAUAAAUAUGUAACAAACCUGCACAUUGUGCACAUGUACCCUAAAACUUAAAGGAUAAUUAAAAAAAAAAAAGGUCAAAAAAAAUUGUUU
rnacentral:lncRNA from 1 species